rnacentral:lncRNA from 1 species
UGGACUGGCUCCCUUGUCUACCGGCCCCAUGGAGGAGCUGGAAGAAUCCAUGUGACCUAAAGCGAACAAGGGAGAAGAAGCAGAGCUAUACACUGGCCAUUAGGAAAAUUCUGCGCCUGGGAGCAGGAGAGAACAGAAACCCUCAACUAAGCCUUCUUGAUACUGAUGAGAUCCUUUGAAGUUUCAAGCAGCUUCGACUAGAAAGUAUCCCAUAAGGGGUUAAUAGCCCUGAUUAUAAAACUUCGCUAUAGUCACUUCUAUCGACCCACGAAUUUUACAGUUGUUACGUGACCUAAGAGCCAAGGCUGAGGGAUAUAGAAAGGGGGGGUAAUCAGAAGGGGGAAUGAAGCAUGAGAGACUAUGGACUCUGGGAAACAAACU